AGGCUAAUUAUUUUAAAUAAUGGCGGAUUCUAGCUUCUUUUUAACAAAGCGCCCGCUGCUUGAUUUGACUCAGUUGUGUUCUAGCCCCAUCCUUAUUUUAUGAUCUCUGUUGUGUCUUACCUCCAUGCUCUCUUUAAGCUCUUAAUGAGUUUGAAUGUGAGCAUUUACUUUAGAAAAAUCUUAUGACCUCUUGGAGUUGCAACUUUGAACGCCAAAGCAUCUUCAUAUAAAC